rnacentral:tRNA from 1 species
UCGGCGGUGGUGUAAUCGGCAACACCUUUGGUUUUGGUCCAAAUGUUCCGGGUUCGAGUCCUGGCCGCCGAGC